AGAUAUAAAUGUAUGUUAUGUUAUUGCUUACCGUAUCUUAAACUCAACAAUCAGAGGAGCUUCCCGAACUCCGCGUUCCCACCCGAAGGUUGUGUUAUGGGUUUGGGGAGUCUGAUAAGGAAGUGAUAAUAAACCAGACGGAAGGAAUAUGUCAACUUGUCCUCAGUUACACUUCUCCUUUGUUGUUGUGUUAUGGGUUUGGGGAGUCUGAUAAGGAAGUGAUAAUAAACCAGACGGAAGGAA